GCAAAAUGCUAGUUUCCAAAAAAAUAUUCCAUGAUAUGUAACAUUUCACAUAUUUUCCCCAUCGUGUUUCCCAUGCAAACAGGAGCUGUCACUGAAUAUGUUCCUAAGCAAUAGUACAAAAGUAGAAAACAGCAAAGCAUGAUACUCAAUUUCUGUUCCAUUUUCUCCCUUUUUCUUUUUAUCAUAAUCAAAUGUAGUAUCAUCUUCACCAAAAUUUUUAACAAAAGAAUAAGUGGACAAAAUUGUUACAUAUUUAAGACCACUUUCACACAUAGUGAACAAAAAGAAUGAAAAAAAUGGAUAUCUGUUAUAAAAACUGCAUCUUCCAUCUAACUCUAUAUCUUCCCUCAAAACCCAUGCAAACUCAGCUUUUGAAGGAUACUUCCAGCAACUGCCUAUGAUACCAAGGGAUAAUUGAAAUAGAAAUCCAAACCAGAUACUCCAUUGUUCUGGAUUUGCAAUUGAGACAAGCACUGCUUACAGAUCCAAGGCUGGUAGUUUCUUGAGCAGGUAUCAAUAAGUAAUCAGAUUUGUAUGUGUUUUUGAAUCUGCAACGAUGAGAGAAAAUUAUCAUUGGAGAGAGAAUCUAUGGUUGAUAUAGCAAGAAAUAGAGUAAAAUUUCAUUCCACAUAUCCGGUACUCCAGGUAAACACCAGUGGCUACAAUCAGCUAUAGAUAAGUUGUCAUUCCACUUGCCAACAUGUGCAUCACUCCUGAAAGCUGACAUGGCGGUAAUAUGAAGUAUGGUUACAGGAACCGUCAUUUUUUUUACCACCUCCCAGGUGGCGUCUGAAAAUAGGCUUCUGUUCGUCCCUUCAGUUUCUGACAUUGGGUGCCUAGUCACAUUGCAAAACCUAUGGGUUUGAUCACUCCAGUGAGAUGGCUCGAAAGUCCUAAAGAAGACACGUGUUCUAUUUGUGUCAAUUGUAUUCUGUACCCAUAAUGCCCAAGUGUCCAGUGCCAUUCUGAAGGCAGCAGGAAUCGACAUUCCAAGCUUCAACGCAUUCCCAACCUGGAAAUAGCAGCCCCUGUCCAGAAUACAAUUUACUUACAUGUAAAAAUUUUGCAGAUCAUACCAGUCAGAUGAAAAUAACAUUAAGAAAACAGCUCGUUUCCAAUUCAUAACAAGUCCGUUAGACUUUAAUAGUAUGUGCAUCUAGGGAGACAAAAGUUCCAACUACAAGAUUUUAUUUCAGGUGGUCCAAUCUCUUAAAUACAUAAUUAGUCUUUUAUAUAAUAUAAACUCUAUGGGUUAGUAAUGUCCAUAUGAUGUCUUGAAUAAAGCUAAGAUCCAAAAAAACAGAUCCAAUAAACAUGUUUAACUCACGAAAGAUGCUUGCACUCCCAACAGCUGGGUGUUGAAAUACCAAGACAGUUGUUCAAAUGAAAAACAUUAAAAGUGAAUACAGCAUAAUAUAUUUCAAGUCCUAAUGCGGCUAGAAAAGACUGAUUGAAUUAUCAGUGAAUAGAAGUCAAAUCAAGCAAUUUCAUUUCAAAAGUAAACUUUGAGAAAUCUAGUUUGACGAGGCCUGUAGUUCAGAAACUUGCCGGGGAAGAAUGAUAAUUUUUCUCUCCUUUACCACAACGAAUGGCAAAAAUAAUUGUGCCAAAAUUUGUUCUCCAUAUCAUAAUCACACUGAAGGAAUUCUUAAACAAAUUCUCAGAGCCAACAGUUUUGUGCUUAGUAUUUCUGCAAGAUGCAGGUACAAAAAAUUUAGUAGGCAGAACCAUUGAGAUAGGUUGUGAGGUAAAAGAGAAAAUCGUAACUAUUAAACAUGCUUUAACAAAUUUAAUUACACAGCAGUUAAGUGCACAAGCUGGUGGGGAGUCUUCCAUAUAAGUGGGUCCCUUUCCAUGAUAUAGACUAGCUCAGAAUAAAUUCCUUUUCCAUAUUGUAUUAGAUUUUGCUAAUUUAGAAAGGGAGAGAGACAGAGAGAGGACUGUUAAAUUGUGCAGCAAAACUAAAAAUAAAGAGCAGUAUGGAUCUAGCAUAAGUAUUUUGGCAUAUAAAAGCUGAAAAUGCAAAAUUUAAAUUAAUUAGAAUUGAGCAAUUAAAAUCAAGUAAAAGCUGCCUACAAAGAGUGUUGAACAGAAGCUAAAAUUAAAGUGAGACGCAUGUGUCUGUGAAAAUCAUUCGCAAUAAACAAUGCUUCAUAGAUAUUACACCUAAAUCAGUGUAAAAGAUCCAAAAGAGCACAUAGAAAUUUAAAUAGGAAAACUUACGUUUCAAAAAGCUUCCCUGGCACCCACCAAUGUCCCGUGUUGAAUAUGAGAACAUCUGAAUUAACCCACUCACUACUAAUAUCAUCCAUCUUGUCCAAUCUAAGUGUUGAUCUAACCCGCUUUGGUGCAUGUCUAGGCAUCCAAGCAUGUUGCACCAAGAAUACCGAUCGAAAGAACUCAAUUGUGAAAUUAAAUGAGUUGAACCGAGCACUUAAAUAUCCAAUCCGUUUUGUUAUCUUAUUCCUGUUGACCUCAUAAACACUUUUCUUAUCCUCUACACCAGUCAUGAGCAAACAUAUUAAUGAUUCCCACUGUGAUCUACUCAUAGAAUCACCAACAAAGACAAUCCUUUUAUUUUGAAACAAUGUCAAUAUAUAAUAUAUAUUUAACCUUGGAAUAUCACAGUUCUUGGGUUUCCACCUCCAUUUAAGAUAAUCUUCAUCCUUCCUUCCAUUUCCCAAGCAAUUGAAUCCUUGUUCUACAAAAGGGCAUUCUGAAGCAUUAUAUAAAGGAUAACUAUUAUCUACAAUCCAAUUUCCAUCAAAAACAUUGCAAUCUCCUAUUGAAUCAUUGGAUUUAGAUAUCCCAUAACCAUGAAAGGCUUGAGUGAAACUUGGAAGCACAUAAAUGUAACCACCCCCAAUGGCUAUGAAAAAUGAAAACAAAGAGCCAAUCACAACAAGCACCCUCAAACAGUGAGAUACUGAGCUUGAUCGAUUUAUUCUUGAGGUUCCAAAACUCAAAGAUCUUGGGCUCCCAACGCCCAAAGCCUUCUGGUUGAAUGAUUUACUCCUAUUGAAAGUAGUCAUUAUCUCAAUCAACCAUCAUGCCAAGACUCAACAAACACACUUCCCAUACUAAAAUGAACACUAAUUCAAACAUCCCCAAUAAUACGCAUUACAUAAUGAACAAACUCAAAGCCAGUGUAGAUCAAUCCAAGAACAACCACCCCAGCUAUUAUCAUACACAAAUCAGUUCAAACUGAAACCAACAUUAACCCCUAUGAAUCACAAUCGUAUCAAAGCACAACAAAAACACCAUUACUGUAACUUAAAAGCUCAAGGAGACAAACACUAACUCAAUCCGAGCACUCAAAAUUGAGAAGUUAGAGGAAAACCGUUCGAUCCCAUUGAUAACCCAUUAUAGAAAUAAUGGAGAAACCAAAUGUACAUCCUUCAAAUCUCAAGGAAAACAGACCCAGAUGCAAAAUCCAACAAUUUAAAAAAAAAAAAAAGAUGAACAGGUUAUGAAAAUGUAAAUAUUUUACAAUUACUAGCUUACUGGUUGAAGCAGAGUCUGAGAGGAGCCUCCCUUAAUUCAAAAAGAAAUUGCAGAGGAGUAGAACUUGAGAGAUGAGCGAGAGAUGGAGAGAAAAUGCAGAUAAAAGCGAAAUCUGAAGUGGAGGAGAUCGGAGGUAGUUGAGAAACAGAGAGGAGGAGAAAGCAGAGCACGUCAUCAAAAGAAACAGAAUGAAA
rnacentral:misc_RNA from 1 species